AAGGCUGCUCAAAGAUAAGCCAUGCAUGUCUAAGUAUAAGCAUCUAUACAGUGAAACUGCGAUGGCUCAUAAAUCAGUUAUCGUUUAUUUGAUAGUACCUUACUACUUGGAUAACCCGUGGUAAUUCUAGAGCUAAUACAUGCUAAAAACCUCGACUUCGGAAGGGGUGUAUUUAUUAGAUAAAAAACCAAUGCCCUCGGGGCUCCUUGGUGAUUCAUAAUAACUUAACGAAUCGCAUGGCCUUGUGCCGGCGAUGGUUCAUUCAAAUUUCUGCCCUAUCAACUUUCGAUGGUUAGGUAGUGGCUAACCAUGGUUUCAACGGGUAACGGGGAAUUAGGGUUCUAUUCCGGAGAGGGAGCCUGAGAAACGGCUGCCACAUCCAAGGAAGGCAGCAGGCGCGCAAAUUACCCAAUCCCGACACGAGGAGGUAGUGACAAUAAAUACUGAUACAGGGCUCUUUUGGGUCUUGUAAUUGGAAUGAGUACAAUUUAAAUCCCUUAACGAGGAACAAUUGGAGGGCAAGUCUGGUGCCAGCAGCCGCGGUAAUUCCAGCUCCAAUAGCGUAUAUUAAAGUUGUUGCAGUUAAAAAGCUCGUAGUUGAACCUUGGGCCUGGUUGGUCGGUCCGCCUCACCGCGUGCACUGAUCCGACCGGGUCUUUCCUCCUGGGGAGCCGCAUGCCCUUCACUGGGUGUGUCGGGGAACCAGGACUUUUACUUUGAAAAAAUUAGAGUGUUCAAAGCAGGCCUAUGCUCGAAUACAUUAGCAUGGAAUAAUAGAAUAGGACGUGUGGUUCUAUUUUGUUGGUUUCUAGGACCGCCGUAAUGAUUAAUAGGGAUAGUCGGGGGCAUCAGUAUUCAAUUGUCAGAGGUGAAAUUCUUGGAUUAAUUGAAGACUAACUACUGCGAAAGCAUUUGCCAAGGAUGUUUUCAUUAAUCAGUGAACGAAAGUUAGGGGAUCGAAGACGAUCAGAUACCGUCGUAGUCUUAACCAUAAACUAUGCCGACUAGGGAUCGGGCGAUGUUAUCUUUUUGACUCGCUCGGCACCUUACGAGAAAUCAAAGUCUUUGGCUCUGGGGGAGA
rnacentral:rRNA from 1 species